rnacentral:rRNA from 1 species
GGGUUAUCUCGAGUGCAGUCCGAUAAGGGCUGCUUUUCCAUAGAGUAAUAUCCUGUGGGAAUAAGAGGGGGGCAAGACUGGUGUCAGCCGCCGCGGUAACACCAGCCCCUCGAGUGGUGGGGACUAUUAUUUGGUCUAAAGCGUCCGUAGCUGGCUGUAUCCGUCCCCCGUUAAAUCCAGCGUCCUAAACGUUGGACUGCGGGUGAUACCAUACAGCUAGAGGGUGGGAUAGGUGAGCGGUAUUUCUGGGGUAGGGGCGAAAUCCUUUGAUCCCAGGAGGACCACCAGUGGCGAAGGCUGCUCACUAGAACACGCCUGACGGUCAGGGACGAAAGCUGGGGCAGCGAACCGGAUUAGAUACCCGGGUAGUCCCAGCUGUAAACGAUGCUAGCUAGGUGUUGGGUCGGCCACGCGCCGCCCCAGUGCCGCAGGGAAGCCGUUAAGCUAGCCACCUGGGGAGUACGGCCGCAAGGCUGAAACUUAAAGGAAUUGGCGGGGGAGCAC